ACGGGAGGCAGCAGUGGGGAAUAUUGCACAAUGGGGGGAACCCUGAUGCAGCGAUGCCGCGUGGAGGAAGAAGGUUUUCGGAUUGUAAACUCCUGUCUUAAAGGACGAUAAUGACGGUACUUUAGGAGGAAGCUCCGGCUAACUACGUGCCAGCAGCCGCGGUAAUACGUAGGGAGCGAGCGUUGUCCGGAAUUACUGGGUGUAAAGGGAGCGUAGGCGGGAUUGCAAGUCAGAUGUGAAAACUAUGGGCUUAACCCAUAGACUGCAUUUGAAACUGUAGUUCUUGAGUGAAGUAGAGGUAAGCGGAAUUCCUGGUGUAGCGGUGAAAUGCGUAGAUAUCAGGAGGAACACCGGUGGCGAAGGCGGCUUACUGGACUGUAACUGACGUUGAGGCUCGAAAGCGUGGGGAGCAAACAGGAUUAGAUACCCUGGUA
rnacentral:rRNA from 1 species